UUUAGCGCCAUUUUUCCAAAAGGCUGCUUCAGGGAGCACCUAAAAGUCCACAAAACCCAGCACCCGGAUCUUGGUUUCUAAUAUCAUCCUCUAACAAAGGGAACCAGAGCUUCUUGGAGAAAUGGCUGAUUCCAGAGUUGGGGCAGGACAUGGGCAAGAGGAACCUGGAGCAUCUUGUAGUGCUAGACAGCUUUCAACUGAUUGGACGAGGCCCACCCACCUUAUUGCAGUAAUAAUCUCCUUUACACAAAGUCGACUGAUUCAAAUGUUACUCUCAUCUGGAAAAUACCUCCGGGUCACAUCAGGAAUAACGUUUGUGGGCUCCGGGGCCAGCGGAGCGGACAUAUCAGAGUCACUAUCCCCGUGGCAUUUAUGAUACUCUCCUUAUUUUCCCCCACGAUCACUGUCAUUACUACUCCAAUUAAAACGGCAGCUCUGUGCGGGUGGUGG
rnacentral:lncRNA from 1 species